rnacentral:rRNA from 1 species
UACGGAGGGGGCUAGCGUUGUUCGGAAUUACUGGGCGUAAAGCGCACGUAGGCGGCUUUGUAAGUUAGAGGUGAAAGCCCGGGGCUCAACUCCGGAAUUGCCUUUAAGACUGCAUCGCUAGAAUUGUGGAGAGGUAAGUGGAAUUCCGAGUGUAGAGGUGAAAUUCGUAGAUAUUCGGAAGAACACCAGUGGCGAAGGCGGCUCACUGGACUGGUAUUGACGCUGAGGUGCGAAAGCGUAGGGAGCAAACAGG